UGAGACUGGGGCCUCGCUCGCUCCCGACCCGGUUGCAAGUGUUGCGGUGGGAGAAAGUCGCGUCCGCAUCGGAGGGGAAGCGCCGUCAUGCCUAAGAAGGAAAAUCACCUCGGCAGUGUUUGAAGGAAGGAUACUGCAACUCUUUGAAGUACGCAUUUUUUGAGUGUAAAAGAUCAGUGUUGGAUAACAGGGCAAGAUUCAGAGGAAGAAAAGGAUAUUGAUGCAUUAUGUUGAAGCCAACAUGGAAAACAACAAAUAUUUUCCCUGGUCAUUAACACAAAGAAGCCAAAACAGGAAACAUACUUUUUACUACAUCUGUUUGGUUGGACCAGAUUUCCCCUCCGUGGAACACUGAAGAAAGUGGAUGAGUUGUUUUCGAAUAUGUAUAAAGUAAAUGAUUCUCUUGAUCCAAGUUAUUUUUAGAAGAAAAACCUAAUUGAACAGGUAUGGGUUG
rnacentral:lncRNA from 1 species